AACAAAGGGUUGGGACACAAAGUCAUUCUCAGAAGAAGGAAAGCCUGGAAGAUCUUUCAACAGACUUCCUGGUGCUGGGUCUCCUUGUUCUCUCUUUAGUGUGACCGAGAGGCCAGAUGACCACGUAUAUGCCUAAGAGGAGAAGCUGCCACCUGUUGCUGUAAAUCUGGUGGAGAAGUGAAGGGCCAGAGGAAGGAAGUGAAUUAUAAUCGCCAUCAUUACAAGUUGCUGAGUGCUGGCUACCUUGUGACAACUACCUCUUUCAAUCCUUGCCCUUCCAGGGGACUGGAGGAGGAAUUCUCUGAAAAAUGAUCUAAGAAGAUAGCACCUUGGCAGAGAUCUGGGGAUCCUGAUCAUCCGAAGGCCAUCUGCUCUAUGCUUUCAGCUGGUCUUGAAUAAGCAGCCUGGACACCCCGAUGAUGUUUGGGACCCAUUCACUCAUGCAUCCAUUCAUUCAUCCUACAAGCAUGUGAGCAUCGUCUGCCAAACACUGACUGAGCCUGUGCUGGGAGUUCAAACAGCAUGAAGCCUCUGUCCUUGCCC
rnacentral:lncRNA from 10 species